UUUACAAGAUCCACGCUGAGCCCACUUUUAACUGCCUGUGAAGAACUUCUUCCAGCGUCUUUGAUGUGCCAACCUAAUGGGAAGAGUGCGCCGGCAGUCAUUGCAUAAGUUAGCGCGCCAAUGAGAGCUAAUCCACUAGCAUUGCAAGGGACGACGACGGAGAUCAAACGGAGCCCGGGCGUGGAAUUCUCUGCUCGCUUGCUCUGCGGAGGCUGAGAAGGAUCUCAGCAGCUAGCUAUUGUAUCUAACUCCAUGUGAUUGAAACACAUGCUCGACUACGCUGCAGCACCGGGGUCACAAGUGCACUGGAGCCUCUCCCACCUGACUUCGGGCGAGAGGUGGGGUACAACCCUCGACUGGUUACCAGCCAGUCAGAAGAAAUUUACAGACAAAGAACCAUUUAAAAUUA